rnacentral:tRNA from 1 species
GCUCGUCUAGCUUAGUCGGCAAUGUGCAAGGCUCUUAACCUUGUGCUCUUGGGUUCAAGCCCCAUGGCGGGCG